ensembl:lincRNA
AAGACUUUCCUCACAGACAAAGGUUAUUUUGACAAAGCCAAAUUAAGGACCAAGUAGAUCUUGAUACACAGAAAGAAUGCUCAGUUCCUACUGAGUCUAGUGAUAAUUAACAUCUGACUUAAACAACCAUUGGGAAUGACUUGGAAUGCUUUAAUUGGUCCACCUAACUUGCCUGCAGGCUUUUCUGUUAGGGGAAUGAUUUAAGUCUCUUCUUGCUUUCAGCUAAAUCUCAGCAUGUCUCAAAUUUCUGAAGCCACCUUUAUCAUUUGAGGCCCUGAGGAAAAAAUGAAUUUUAAUUCAGCUUUCAUCUUACUUCAUGGAGAACCUUAAGUGUUUCCAUAGCAUUAAAGGGAAAGCUGACUAAGAAGGCAGAACUCAAUCACAAGGCAGGAAGAAAUUAUUAUUUGUAAGCAUGGGAAGGAACAAUGACAUUCCAUCAAGAUGUAAUUUUGAUACUGAAUGUGAUAUAUGGACUCCCAGGCAAGAUGGCCAAAUAGGAAGAGCUCCAGUCAGCAGCUCCCAGUGAGACCAACGCAGAAGGUGGGUCAUUUCUGCAUUUCCAACUGA